CAUUGCGAAAUGGAAUCUGAAGGAAGUCCGAGGCAAAUCUCCGGUCCGACGUACAGAAAUCACAUGAGGCGACGUUUGAGGGUAAGGCUGCGAAAGAAGCUGAAGCCCAAUAGUUACUGCAAGAAUCAAACGGUGUAUAUGUGGCGGAUAGAUGGAGAGGAAGAG
rnacentral:ncRNA from 1 species